GACGAACGCUGGCGGCGUGCCUAAUACAUGCAAGUAGAACGCUGAAGGAGGAGCUUGCUUCUCUGGAUGAGUUGCGAACGGGUGAGUAACGCGUAGGUAACCUGCCUGGUAGCGGGGGAUAACUAUUGGAAACGAUAGCUAAUACCGCAUAACAGUAGAUGUUGCAUGACAUUUGCUUAAAAGGUGCAAUUGCAUCACUACCAGAUGGACCUGCGUUGUAUUAGCUAGUUGGUGGGGUAACGGCUCACCAAGGCGACGAUACAUAGCCGACCUGAGAGGGUGAUCGGCCACACUGGGACUGAGACACGGCCCAGACUCCUACGGGAGGCAGCAGUAGGGAAUCUUCGGCAAUGGACGGAAGUCUGACCGAACAACGCCGCGUGAGUGAAGAAGGUUUUCGGAUCGUAAAGCUCUGUUGUAAGAGAAGAACGAGUGUGAGAGUGGAAAGUUCACACGGUGACG
rnacentral:rRNA from 1 species